rnacentral:rRNA from 1 species
AUUGAACGCUGGCGGCAGGCCUAACACAUGCAAGUCGAGCGGAUGAAGGGAGCUUGCUCCUGGAUUCAGCGGCGGACGGGUGAGUAAUGCCUAGGAAUCUGCCUGGUAGUGGGGGAUAACGUCCGGAAACGGGCGCUAAUACCGCAUACGUUCUGAGGGAGAAAGGGGGGGUUCUUCGGACCUCACGCUAUCAGCUGAGCCUAGGUCGGAUUAGCUAGUUGGUGGGGUAAAGGCUUACCAAGGCGACGAUCCGUAACUGGUCUGAGAGGGUGAUCAGUCACACUGGAACUGAGACACGGUCCAGACUCCUACGGGAGGCAGCAGUAGGGAAUAUUGGACAAUGGGCGAAAGCCUGAUCCAGCCAUGCCGCGUGUGUGAAGAAGGUCUUCGGAUUGUAAAGCACUUUAAGUUGGGAGGAAGGGCAGUAAGUUUAUACCUUGCUGUUUUGACGGUACCAACAGAGUAAGCACCGGCUAACUUCGUG